AACAGGACAAGAAGCUCAACAAAGGCCCAGAGCUGCCACUAUUACAAGGCAGCAAAUGGCAGUGAAAAGCAGGAUUUCCUUGACCCUUUUGCUCUGCUCUCACUCCCUGUGCUCCAUUUCAGGCAGCGGCCAAGCCGUGUCCUGACUCAGCUGCCCUGCACACUGCUGCACCUGCUCAUGAGCAUUCAUACCCAUGUGAUUAGCCAGGGCCGUGGCCUGGGGGAGGUGCAUGCUGCACUCACCAAUGGCCCAGGCUGCAGUACUGGCUGCUCAUGACAGAAGAAGGGACUGGCAAGUGGUGAAACUGGAAUGCACCACUUUUAGUUGUUGGGAAGACAAAUGUCUGUGAGCUGAUACAAGAGAAGCAAUCUGCUUGAAACAGUCUCAUCAGAAAAGUUGUACAGGCAGAUGGGGACAUUCAAGAAGUCAGCUGAGAGAGACACGUGUGAAGUUCAGGGACAUCACCAAACAGACCAACAUGAGAAGAAUACAGACUUUUGUACAUAUUUAAAGAAAACUGUGGGGCAAGGAUUUGGACUGUGAACAGUCUAUCUGGUUGGCAAAACAGUACCAUGGAGAGAAGAGAAAUCUUCAUAAGAAGGCUGUUAAAGGAGAUCAUCUACAAUUGUUUGCUUAACCAGAUGAACUGUACAUCCAGUGGAUUGAACUCCCUAAUGUAUGCAUCUCAUUAUAAUUCCCAAGGCACUGGUCCAACAUGCUUAACAGAGGAAAACAAAACAAAACAAAACAAAAACAACUAACCACAAAUCAUUAUUUAGUCUUGUAAGUUUAUAUUUGCUAGGUGUUGAAAAUGACCUAAACAGAAAGAAGACAAGUCAAAUGCUAAGGCUAUGCUCAAUAAAGGUCAGGAGAGAGAUGUUAGUCCA
rnacentral:lncRNA from 1 species